UGUUGUAUAGUUAUUUUUGUUUUAUUAUUACUAUUACAUUAAGUUAAUUUAACAUGCAUUUAUAGAGGAAUACAUUCAAAGCACUGAUGUAGGAGAUAGAUACACGGUACUUGGAGCAGUCAGCCAAAAAUCACAGAUACUGCUUUCACUGAAAUGGAAACAAUUCUCCAACAAUGCUUUGCUAUUUUUCUUAUGUCACUGUUGCAUACUAUCUAUUUUUCUCCUCUCUGGGACCAAGUUUCUUUUUAUAAAGCAAUAAUAUCUCUGUUUUCCUUUUAGUACAUUGUGCUCUCUGUCAGCAUAUGUAUAUUAGCUACAAAAUAUAUUCAACUUUGACUUCUUUUGACAAUGUGCUUUAGGAAAAAGAGAAACAAAGACAUUAUUUGAGAAUUAAAUUAUAUAUUUUUAAUAUGACUGAUGACCUUGACUGAUAAUAAAGAUGUAAUAAGAAUUGCAAGCUAAAUGUUUCCCUUUGCAACUCAUGUUUUGUGUUUUGUUUUGCUGACAACUCAUAAUGUUUUGUAAAGCCCUUCAGAGAGAAGACAGAUGCAUGCAUCAUCCUGGCCUCCAUCAAAUAACAGUAUCCACGGUGGCACCUCUUCUGCAAUGUUUAACCCUGGUAGUCAUGAGCGAUGAUUUAAUUCGGAUAUUUCAGAACUUUUUGUUUAUCCCAUCAGGAGAGAAUACAGCAGUUUCAAGGACAAGGGAUUCGUACCACUGCUCCUCACUCAAUAAACAGCAGAGGCAGAAUUUGAACGUGAGUCUGACUGAUUCCAAAACCGAUAUAAUAUCCCUGCAUUGAAACAAAGAAAGAUCCAGGGAAAGUGCACACAGCUUAGAGACUAUUGGAUAGGGGUCUGAUGCAGUCUUUCCCAAAUUUCCUCACAAAUUUACAGUUGAAAUAUCAGGCAGAGAAAUGAUAAGCAGGUGGAAGACCCCUAAUGGGACAUCAUCGCAUCACAGCUCUGUGAUCAUCGAUCAUGAUCGCUAGAGGGUGACCUAGAGGAGUCCUACAAUAGGCUUUCUUGGGUUUUCUGACAGGUAUAGUACUGAGAAAAUUUGCUAUGGUUAGCUAUGGA
rnacentral:lncRNA from 1 species